UGUGUCCUGUUACCUUAUUAGCUCGUUGUGUAUUUAAGUCCCGUCUUCAGUUGCCAUGUGUUGCUCUGCCGUGCGUCCAGUGGUUCCUGUGUUUAUUCCUGGUGCUCCUCGAGUUCUUUUGUCAUUUCAGUUAAUAAAUAAUUUUCUUCACCGCAACCUGCAGCUGCAUUUGGGUCCUGCCGACCUCCUCCACACACGUGACACAGCCUAUCUAAAUAUGAGACCCCCGGGCCGUGGCUGCGGUCCACUCUUCAAAUAGAGAAGGCAUCAAAUAAAAGUUGUUGGAUAUUAUUCCACCAGCCCUUUGACUCUGGACGUGACCAACGUGUCUGCAGGACAGAGGCUUCCUCGCGUCUGUGUCCCCAGCCGCAGUCGCCGUCUUCUUCUUCUUCUUCUGGUGGAGAGUAUGACGGGAGAGAUGAUGAGACGGAGAUUUGAGAGAUGAGCAGGAUGUCCUCAGAUGAAAAUGAGCGCUCCGUGCACAAAGCGGAAGAUAACUUUCCCACCAUGGGAGAGCCAGACUGGCAGCUGCAUUUACCUUCAGCUCUGAUGACCUUUUUCUGCUGAGAGUGAGGCUUCCAUUUUUAUUAAAACCACGACCAAAACCUUAACCCAAUUAUUUUACUUAACUGUU